GUCAUUUGCCAUCCCAGAGGUGUGCCCUUUUUGUAUUGUUGGGGACCGAACUCAAUGUGUCACAGAUGCUAUGAAGCACUCUACCACUGAACUACUUCCAGGCUCGGCUUCUGAAGGACAUCCACCUCAUCCAAGCUGAGUUCACAGACUUAGCUGGCAGUGUGUAAGCGGGAGAGCUCUGUAGUGUUUGCCAGUGUAAAGGGCAUAAGAGUUCACUUUGUGCUGCUUUUGGGCAAAGAUGGUACAAACAUGUUGGCACUGGAGCAUGUGUCUGUUUUAAUCAAUGGCAAACAUUCACCUAGAAAGCUGGGAGAGAUCCCUUGCCUGGAAGAGGACACGUCAGCCCUCCGCCUACAUCAGCUCAGCUACCGAGCUUCUUCAUUGCAUGAUCCUGGCCAUUAGUCCCUCCUCAUCUCAGAGUCCCCAUGGACGCUCACCACUCUAACGGGUAUGACCCAGGGGAUGCCCGGGAUCCAGCAGUGAGAAAACCUGUCCUGCAGGGAGCAUCCAAGUUACAAAACAUUUCAAAGCAGGUUUUGCCUGUUUUGCGCAUUCCCCGAACGGUUCUAACAUGCACGUGUUUGUUCUUUACUGUCUCCUCAGGCCAGUGAACAGAACCUCCCUCUGUCCUGGAGGCCGCCCAACUAGUGCUUUCCCCACAAACUGCAUUCUUUGUCCAGAGCCAGAAAGAGAGCCCAGUUAUCUUUGAGGACUAGGCUUCAAAUUACCUCUGCUCCAUGCCUGGUCACCACCUCUCACUCGAUAAGAGUUUGUGCUAAUGCCUGCAGAUGGUUGGGAAGAUACCCGUGGAGGGUCUAGCAAUCAUUAGUAACAGAUAUUAUCCUUGUUUGGAUCACUUAGCUGGCUUUGACCCAUGGCGGAGAUUCCUGCCCAGUGGGCAUGCAGACUUGGAGGAACUAGAACACAGCGAUAAUCUGGGCUCCCUUCCUAAUGAAGGCUGUGUUGGGAUCAAACCAAGAGUCUUGUGCAUACUAGAUAAGUACACUACUACUAAGCUACUCCCCAGGCCUCUAUUUGGUUCUUCAAGCUUAUCAAUGGAGGCAAAGCCACACUGGGUUCAUUUCAAUGGCCUAGACAACUCAUGUGGCCAUGGAGAAAUCCAAGGGAAGGGGAAGGGGGCAUCCUCUUAAAUUCUGGAAUUCAUUGGUCAGACCUGGAAUUCAUUGGUCUAUAACACUCAUUUCUCCUUCUUGCCCAUUCUGGAUUAUAGUAUCCCCCAGGUGACAUUCAGACCUGGCACACUGAUCCCCAUUCAAUCAUCACCAUAAGACUAUUAUUCCCUGUGUUUCACUCCAAGAGCAGCGACAUGCUGGACUUUGGAUGCCAAAUAAAGACACACUCAGUUUCUCCCUCAGUAAUGCAACUUUGAUUGACUGAUUGAUUAGGGAAUCCAUUUGUUAGACAAGUGUUCAUUGGACCCUACUAAUACCGGAGAUAUGCUAAGUGAGAUGACAAGACCUUUUAGCACAAAACACAUAAUCUAAGAAAGAAUGAGACGGUAAUAACUGAUAAUAUUAACCUUUUACUGUGCCACAUACGGAUCUCAUUUUGUCUAUUAAAUUAUUCUGAUGGUAUUUGCUCCACUGCAGCUUCUCAACAUUCAUGAAAGAAUAACUGUGUGAGCUUCAAGUAGGAAAGGCUACAGAAAGUGCUCAAACUAAUAAUUUGUGCCUCCUUAGCCCAAGAGCGUUUCCAGGUGUGUGGAUUUGGAGAAAGAUAGGACUUAAGGUUGGGAAAUUCUGGUGCUGACACAUUUGCUGGUCCCUGCAGCUUCACUAGACUACAAACAUGCCUUAGGUUGUUCCUGAGGAAAGUUGUUGCUUCAGAAAGUCCAGGCUGCAGUGGUCUCCAUCACCUGCAGAACUUUAGAAAGGUCUUUGUGUGGGCCUCAUCCUAAACCGCUUAAAUCAGUCUCUAGGGUGGUGAGAAGCUUAGGCGUCAGCAUUUUGAAACAUUUGUCUGGUGAAGCCAUUGGCCUAGGAGCGUGGUUCUGAAGCUCUAACUCAUGCCAAAGUCACCUGGGUGGUGGCUUAAAGCCAGGUCUCUGGGGCCCAUCCCCAGAGUUUGGGAGUCAGGUCUGGAGUAGGGUCUGGGGAUUUGGUUUAUUUUAUGGCUUCCCAGACACUGACUGGUCUGGGGACCACACUGUGAGGACAUCUGGUCUAGGAGAAGUUCCCUGUCAUUAACAACUAAAUGGAAUGGUACUGGGAAAGGGAGGGGAAGAUCUGGAAAAUUAGUCUCUGUCUUUCUCUCUCUCUGCCAAUCAAACUAGAUCAUUUCAGAACUGGGAACCUCAAGCCUGUGGGGGAAUUUUCUUGGUUAUUAUUAAUGAUGGGGGGUCGCUUACCGUGGGUGGUGCCACAUCUGGGGAGUACGAGAAAGCAAACUGAGUAAGCUGUGCAGAGAAAGCCAGUGAGCCCCACUCUUCCACGGGCUCUGCUUCAGGUCCCGUCUCCCCAUUCCUACUUGGGUUCCUAUUCUGACUCCCCUUCAUGAAGGACUGUAAAUUGUUAGGCAGUGGCUCUCAACCUUCCUAAUGCUGCGACCCUUUAAUACAGUUCCUCGUCAUGUGGUGACCCCCAACCAUAACAUGAUUUUCAUUGCUACUUCGUAACUGGAAUUUUACUACUGUUAUGAAUCUUAAUGUAAAAAUCUGUGUUUUCUGAUGGUCUUAGGUGACCUCUGUGAAAUGGUGGUUUGAUUGCCAGGUUGAGAACUGUAAGGUGGAAUAAACCUUCCUCCCUGAAUUGCUUUUGUUCGUGGUGUUUAUCACAACAAUGGAAAACAAACCAGAACAGCCUGUUUUAGCUUUGAUUCUCCUUGAAGAACCAGACUGCCCCAUGAGCUCAGAGCCACAUGAGAGAUCUGCAACCCAGAGAUUUAGUAGAACAGCCAGACUCGUCAGAUGGCUCAGGGGUUAAAAGUACUGGCUGCUCUCCCACAG